GACGAACCGUGCGAACGUUGUUCGGAAUCACUGGGUUUAAAGGGCGCGUAGGCGGGCUGUCAAGUCGGUGGUGAAAUCGUUCCGCUCAACGGGACAAUGGCCUUCGAUACUGGCGGUCUGGAGGGAGGUAGGGGCAUGCGGAACUUCCGGUGGAGCGGUGAAAUGCGUAGAUAUCGGAAGGAACACCGAUGGCGAAAGCAGCGUGCUGGACCUUUUCUGACGCUGAGGCGCGAAAGCCAGGGGAGCAAACGGGG
rnacentral:rRNA from 1 species